rnacentral:lncRNA from 1 species
CCCUGCCAAAACAUUAUGGGAUAACCAAGAAACGCAGUUAGUAUCAUAAUUGCAGUCAAUCAACUGAAGCUACACAGUGGGAACGAGAACGAAAAAUAAAGACCUUAAUGGCUUUAAAUAUCGUUUGAGAGGUCACUAUAUGAGCGAUGCUGAACUCCACGAUAUAUUACGAGAGCGAGAAAAAUAUUUUUCAGAACUAGGCAGUACAAUUACAUCUUAUUUCCAGAAUUCUCAUGCAUAUUUACCGUUCACAUCCUUUGAGAGAAAGAAAGGAAGACCUGCCAGCUGUAUGAAUACUUCUUAGGUCCUAAUAUUUGGGAUGCACCAUCCAAGAUUUGAACACAGAACCUCUAGGCUAUAUAUUUACAAUAACCAAACAACACAUGUAAUACGUGAUAUUGGGCAGAAUCUUUGCUAGACUCCGCACUUUGGGUAUGUCUUAUGUUUUCAAGUUUUUUACUCGCACUUCCAGUAAAUUUAAUCAUCCAAACUCAUGUCGCACAGGAUUAGCAAUUGAUUCCAUCCGCAAUUACAAGUCAUCGUUGUCUAACUGCAGUGUGUAGACCCCAUUAUUGAUCAUUGUCCUAAUUAAAUAGAUUUUUGCACCUAGGGUUCCGAGUAAAUUAUCAAGGGAAAAAGAAGCUAGAUGAAGAUAAUAAACUACUCGAGCUUUACACAUCCAUGCAUCGGAAAGAACAGAUUUAUUUCCUGCUCAAAAGCACUGCUAAAAUAAACUUACUUGUAACGCCGGCCGGGAGUAAUGAACAGAAGUAGUAUUCUUUCCCAGAACUGGUUCCCAGGAAGGCUGUCAAUGGCCAUGUAAGCAAAAUACCCCCAGAGAACUGAUGUAGGUAUCUUCUUGAUGAUGGGCAUAGCUCCAAGACAAGCACCCACCAAAAUGGACUGCAACAGAUUGCUCAACCUUUGCUCGUUGACCCGGACCGGCAAGUGGGCAUCUAUGUGCCUUUCUGGAUCAAAUCUGUCUUUCAACUCUCCUUCACCAGGUUCAUUUCUCAUAACAGCAUCCUUUAAAUCCUGCAGCUCUCUAGCUGCUGAGAUUGUCUGCAGGAAGCAUGGUCUUAAUAAAUUAGCUUAGCAAAUAGUGAUGCAAUGCAAUGAUUCAUGGUCAAGCACAAAACUCAGUUCUGGUUUCCUCAGAAUAACUUCACAAACACCUGGUAGCCACAAUGCCCAAAUUGAGAAAAAGAUCACUACUUCUCCAUUAGUGCUUGAAUGCUUGCUAUUGGGCCCAUCAACUAAAGCAAGACUCGGGAUCCAUGAAAGAGAAAAAUAAAACCAGACUCUCCAGUGGAAAAGAUGACAAAUGAGACAAUCCAUUAAGGAAAAUAUAUAGAGAAACACAUGCACAGUGCUCUGUUAAGUUACACAAAAAUAUAUAAGUUUACCAGUAAUCAUAUAUAAGUUUCUGUAAUCUGCAACAAUGUAACAAAGGGAAGAUGUGGAAAUGUGUAAUAGUAUGAGUCAUAUUGGCUAAGUGACACCUCUCGAACAGAAUUAUGUUCAGACAACAGAAGAAUAGGCCUAACAGCAGUCAUACAUUUAAAAGACUGUCCGCGAAUCAGAAGCAUACUUAUGGCUUCCGAAUGUUUUGGUUAAAGGCAUAAAACUAUUGUUUCCACCAGGUAUAAAGAAAAGCUUGCACAUGUAUGAGAACUUACAGUAUGUCCAUCGUCCAUUUCUAUGAAAACAUCUUGCAUUUUGCCAUAUAUCUCCAAAUUGCUAGCUCUCCGUUUAAUGCUCUCUUUUGCACUUUGAACCAUCUUCUUGCGAAUUAACUGAAAAGAUGAAGUGUAAAAACUCAGAUGGAGUAUGGACCAAAACUGCAGGAGCCAGAGCUCCAGAACACUUUCACUAACCUGCUUCUUGAGAACGGCAAGACUCUUGGUAUGCAUAGGUGACUGUGGAAGAACACCAUUUGAAGGGGGAAUUCCAAGCAACCCACAAAUCAGAACCUGAAUUUGUAAAUUUAGAAUACAAAAACCAUCACAUGUCUAUUCAUAUGGAUAAAGAAACCAAGCUAAAUGGUCAUAUACCAUGAAUCCAAGGACAAAAAUGUCAUAAUGGUAGGCAGAGGGGUUUUUAAGAUUAAACUCCUUCUGCUGUGCCAUCUGUGAAGCAACACUGUGGUCAAAAAAGUAGAGGCCCGCAACCAUGAAAGCAGGUAUUAUGGCAGCAAAUAUGUAGACUGCAGGAACCGAUAGCAUAUCCUGCAUCACAACCAGCAAAAAACUCAGUAAGUCGAAGUUUGUAAAAUUAGUCAGCACAAGUUCCAAUUGUAAAAAAACAGGAGAUUGGGAAUUUUGGAGGAUCUUUUCCUUGCACAUCAUUUGGGGAGUUUGGCAUGUGUGUGUGUGUGUGUGUGUGUGAGAGAGAGAGAGAGAGAGAGCAAGCAAGCAAAUUAAUGAAAGGAUUAAUGUUCCAUAAAAAGAAUAACGCAAUCACCGGAUAAGUUCUUUAUCAAGGAAUAUACACAUAUCCUAUUACUAUAAAAGAUGUACAACCACAGUACAGACCCAUGCAGCCAUGCUUAGAGAACAAGAUGACUUUUCAUUGGAAGUGCACUACGCGAAUCUUCAAAAUCCUUACUACAGGUAAAAAAGUGUUUCAAACCUCAAACUCCCACAGUACACAGACUAUCAUGAUUAGUAACAUUUGUCCUUUGGGAUAUCAAACUUUGGUAUUUGAAAACCUCUACCCAUGCAUUGCUUUCUGUCACAAGAAUCACGAAGUACAAUAAUACUUGCUCCAACAUCUAGCUGCCUCUGGGGCCAACUAUACAGCAACAUUCCAUAGAUUAAUUAUCCUUUAUAUAAGUAAUUUCUAUGUACAUAUGUAUGCAUGGACGUGAGCUUGUGAUGUAUUAUAAGUUCUUUCAGAGCUAUCUCAUAAAUUAAUUUCUCAUCUAGGUGCAUCAACAGAAAUCUCUAAUUUAACUGGAACAUGAAUUCUCACAAAUGGCUAGACAAAUAACAAUUUGCUUAGUAUGUCGCCAUUACCCCGUACCAACAAUAUAAUAGACCUGAUAUUGGUGUCUAGGUAUAGUUUCAUUCUGAUGGUCGAGCCCAUUAUUGAUCCAAUGAUCCCUACAUUCAGACGGUAUCAUAAGUUUGUCUGUGAGAUACAACUCAAACUCUAAAAACAGCAAAAUUCAUAUUAUCAAAUAACCUAAACUGUAAAAGUAAAACCAUCUGAACAACCAGAAUUGCUAAUUUAAUUGACAGAGCUAGGGCACCUCAUGACAAGAUAGCAUAGCUAGAAUUUUGUUACCUU